AUUGAACGCUGGCGGCAGGCCUAACACAUGCAAGUCGAGCGGAUGAAGGGAGCUUGCUCCUGGAUUCAGCGGCGGACGGGUGAGUAAUGCCUAGGAAUCUGCCUGGUAGUGGGGGAUAACGUCCGGAAACGGGCGCUAAUACCGCAUACGUCCUGAGGGAGAAAGUGGGGGAUCUUCGGACCUCACGCUAUCAGAUGAGCCUAGGUCGGAUUAGCUAGUUGGUGGGGUAAAGGCCUACCAAGGCGACGAUCCGUAACUGGUCUGAGAGGAUGAUCAGUCAAACUGGAACUGAGAAACGGUCCGGACUCCUACGGGAGGCAGCAGUGGGGAAUAUUGGAAAAUGGGCGAAAGCCUGAUCCAGCCAUGCCGCGUGUGUGAAGAAGGUCUUCGGAUUGUAAAGCACUUUAAGUUGGGAGGAAGGGCAGUAAGUUAAUACCUUGCUGUUUUGACGUUACCAACAGAAUAAGCACCGGCUAACUUCGUG
rnacentral:rRNA from 1 species